rnacentral:rRNA from 1 species
UUUUGCGCAAUGGGCUAACGCCUGACGCAGCAACGCCGCGUGGAGGAUGAAGGUCUUUGGAUUGUAAACUCCUGUCAGCAGGGAAAAAGCGACUUAGCCUAAUACGCUAGGGAGUUGAUUGUACCUGCAGAGGAAGCCCCGGCUAACUCUGUGCCAGCAGCCGCGGUAAGACGGAGGGGGCAAGCGUUGUCCGGAAUCACUGGGCGUAAAGGGCGCGUAGGCGGCUUAUCAAGUCAGGUGUGAAAGCCUUGGGCUUAACCCAAGAACUGCGCUUGAUACUGAUAGGCUUGAGGAUGAUAGAGGAAAGCGGAAUUCCUAGUGUAGAGGUGAAAUUCGUAGAUAUUAGGAAGAACACCAGAGGCGAAGGCGGCUUUCUGGAUCAUAUCUGACGCUGAGGCGCGAAAGCGUGGGGAGCAAAC